rnacentral:rRNA from 1 species
UACGGAGGGUGCUAGCGUUGUUCGGAAUCACUGGGCGUAAAGGGCGUGUAGGCGGUCUGUUAAGUCUGAUGUGAAAUCCCCUCGCUCAACGAGGGAACUGCGUCGGAUACUGGCAGACUCGAGUACCGGAGAGGAAGGUGGAAUUCCAGGUGUAGCGGUGAAAUGCGCAGAUAUCAGGAGGAACACCAACGGCGAAGGCAGCACUCUGGGCCGGUACUGACGCUGAGGAGCGAAAGCGUGGGGAGCGAACAGG